rnacentral:tRNA from 2 species
AUUUAUAUAGUUUAAAAAAAACUUUACAGUUUCAUUGUAAAAUUAGAAAAAAUCUUAUAAAUA